UUUAGCUUCAUUUAAAGUUUUUGGUUUCAUUUCAUUGCUUUGGCAUUGAAACCAAGAGCAUUGAAACUGAUAAAUUCGUCCUAAGUCUUUAGCCAACAAAUCUGUUCUUGGUUUUGAAACCAACAACAUUAAUCCGAAAACAUUUCGUCCAAAAUUUCAAUCCAAGCCAGUUUCGUUUCAAUUUCAGAGGAUCCAAGUGUAAAAUUUCGUUCAAGGAUUCAGAAGCAGAAGCUUCAUUCCAAUCAAAUAAUUUCAGGUAUAGGUAUGUUAAGGCCCUCCCUUUUUUCUUUUGGCAUGGUCCAAAUUAUACUGAAGAAACAAGCAAACACACAUUUUCCAUAAAUUACUCUAUUCAUAUAAAUAGCAGGGGUAUCUAUAUUUUGAUUCCCCAUGAAAAAUAUUAUUAUCUUCUGUUCAUGGCUCUCAGAAGAAUACGUAAUUGAAAAAAUUUAUCCGGAAGGAAUAUUAAGAUUAUUACUUAUUUUUCAUGCAUUUCACUCAUUUAUACAUAUGCAUUGACCCAUGACUAGAUGGCGUUAUAUACGCGUAUAUAUGUAAAUAUAUGUAUAUAGUAUAUGGAAAAAAGGUUACGAUGUUAUAUACGCACCACCACCUGAUCAGCUAGUAUAUGUUAAUGAUGUUGCCCACAGUGGCCGAAACGAUAUGAUGGGAUGCCCUCAGUGGCUUGAUGAUAUUAUGUACACUCAUACAUAUGCAUGACACGACAUUUAUAUGCAUGUGCAUGGCAUUAUAAACGUUACAGAAUUUACACAGUUAUUCAAAUUUAAAGAUGUGUUUCCUUAUUCCACAUUUCAUCUACGUCUUUUACGUACUAAUUUUCAUGCCUUACAUACUCAGUACAUUUUUCGUACUGAUUCCCUAUUUCACGGGGCCUGCAUUUCAUGCCCGCAGGUGCAGGUAGACAAGCUGACGGUCCCCCUUCUUAGGAUCCCUGAUCAG
rnacentral:lncRNA from 1 species